rnacentral:rRNA from 1 species
AACGUAGGUGGCGAGCGUUAUCCGGAUUUACUGGGCGUAAAGGGUGUGCAGGCGGGCUGUUAAGUGGUGCAUGAAAUCUCCGCGCUUAACGUGGAGAGGCUGUGCAAGACUGGCAGUCUAGAGUACGUGAGAGGGUUGUGGAAUUCCGGGUGUAGUGGUGAAAUGCGUAGAUAUCUGGAGGAACACCGGUGGCGAAGGCGGCAUCCUGGACCGAUACUGACGCUGAGGAGCGAAAGCCAGGGGAGCAAACGGG